UACGGAGGGGGCUAGCGUUGUUCGGAAUUACUGGGCGUAAAGCGCACGUAGGCGGCUUUGUAAGUUAGAGGUGAAAGCCCGGAGCUCAACUCCGGAAUUGCCUUUAAGACUGCAUCGCUAGAAUUGUGGAGAGGUAAGUGGAAUUCCGAGUGUAGAGGUGAAAUUCGUAGAUAUCGAGAGGAACAUCUGUGGCGAAGGCGGCCAACUGGACGAAUACUGACGCUGAGACACGAAAGCGUGGGGAGCAAACAGG
rnacentral:rRNA from 1 species